UAAGAGGUCCCGCCUGCCCAGUGACAUUAGUUCAACGGCCGCGGUAUUUUAACCGUGCGAAGGUAGCGCAAUCACUUGUCUGUUAAAUGUAGACCUGUAUGAAUGGUAGAACGAGGGCUUAACUGUCUCCUUUCUCGAGUCAAUGAAAUUGAUCUCCCCGUGCAGAAGCGGGGAUGAAAACAUAAGACGAGAAGACCCUUUGGAGCUUUAGACAAUGUACAGCCCAUGUUAAAGACCCUAAAAUAACAGACUAAACCUAUUGGAGCCCUGUACUAAUGUCUUCGGUUGGGGCGACCAAGGAGAAGCAAAUAACCUCCAUGUGGAAUGAUAACACAGUUAUUUUAUAUAAGAGCCACAGCUCUAAUCAACAGAAUUUUUGACCUGAAAGAUCCGGCAUAAUGCCGAUUGACGGACCAAGUUACCCUAGGGAUAACAGCGCAAUCCUCUUUUAGAGCCCAUAUCGACAAGGGGGUUUACGACCUCGAUGUUGGAUCAGGACAUCCUAAUGGCGCAGCCGUUAUUAAGGGUUCGUUUGUUCAACG
rnacentral:rRNA from 1 species